rnacentral:rRNA from 1 species
CCUACGGGGUGCAGCAGUGAGGAAUAUUGGUCAAUGGGCGAGAGCCUGAACCAGCCAAGUCGCGUGAGGGAAGACGGUCCUAUGGAUUGUAAACCUCUUUUGCCGGGGAGCAAAAAGCGGUACGUGUACCGCAUCGAGAGUACCCGGAGAAAAAGCAUCGGCUAACUCCGUGCCAGCAGCCGCGGUAAUACGGAGGAUGCGAGCGUUAUCCGGAUUUACGGGGGGUAAAGGGCGUGUAGGCGGGCAUGCAAGCCAGAAGUGAAAUCUGGGGGCUUAACCCCCAAACUGCUUUUGAAACUGCGUGUCUUGAGUGAUGGAGAGGCAGGCGGAAUUCCCAGUGUAGCGGUGAAAUGCGUAGAUAUUGGGAGGAACACCAGUGGCGAAGGCGGCCUGCUGGACAUUAACUGACGCUGAGGCGCGAAAGCGUGGGGAGCAAACAGGAUUAGAUACCCCAGUAGUC